AACAAACGCUGGCGGCGUGCCUAAUACAUGCAAGUCGAACGGGUAGCAAUAUCAGUGGCGCACGGGUGAGGAAUACAUAGAUAAUCUGCCUUCGAGUCGGGGAUAACCAGUCGAAAGACUGGCUAAUACCGGAUAAGACCACAGGAUCUGCGGAUCUAGGGGUUAAAGGUUUUUCGCUUGAAGAUGAGUCUAUGCGAGAUUAGCUAGUUGGUGAGGUAAUGGCUCACCAAGGCGACGAUAUCUAACUGGUCUUAGAGGAUGAUCAGUCACACUGGAACUGAGACACGGUCCAGACUCCUACGGGAGGCAGCAGUAGGGAAUAUUGCGCAAUGGGGGAAACCCUGACGCAGCGACGCCGCGUGAGUGAUGAAGGCCUUCGGGUCGUAAAGCUCUGUCGUAUGGGAAAAAAUCAUCUUACGUGUAGGAUGUUGAUGGUACCAUGAGAAUAAGGAUCGGCUAACUUCGUGC
rnacentral:rRNA from 1 species